GACCAAACUCCAUGUGACCGAUGUUCCAUAAAAGUGAACAAGAAUGAGUCUUUCCAAGACAUGAAAAAAUAACAGGUGCCACAUCUCACACCCCUAGUAUUAAAAGUUUUAAAUGCAGGCAAUGCAAUAUUUAUCACCUGAGAUAAUAAAAAGGCAAGUCAGUAUUUUCCCUUCACAAAUUCAAAGGGCUUGAGCAAAUGCAAGGGUGGAGAAUCAUUUUCAGUUGAAGUCUUAUGAAGAUUAUUUUGAGCUGCUUCUCUUUUGCCCCCCCCCCCCCUUUAUAUCAAUAAGAAUAUUUGUUGGACGAAUCCAGGGUUCCUGAAGAUGCAGUUGCUGAUUGCUUUGCUUUUUAUUCAUGAGAAAGUGAUAUAAUUCAUUGAAGCUUGUCGAUCUGCAGUGCUCCCAGGUGACUGAUCCCUGAAAACACCAUAUCAGUACUUUAUUAGUAUUACCGGAUAAAAUUAAAUCUGUUGAAGCCCCUGAAGGUUUACACAUUCUGUUUCAUUGGAAAUUCUGAGAAAGUCUUGGCAAAUCUGUAUAGAGGAUAAGAUGGUUUAGGCUGCAGGGAAUAAAAACAUGGGUAUAAAUAUUCUAAAGGCUCAGUUGAAACUUGUGGUAUAUUAGCAGUCACACAGUUUGAGUAUACAGAUGCAAUAAUUUAAAAAUGUGUAAGUUUGAUCAGUAACUGAGAUGAAGUCAAAACAGAGCUAAAAAAGCAAGAGUCACACUGGAUAAAAGCGGGAAUUAAAUUCACUGGAAAGGGGACCUAGAAAACACAUGACUCUGAAGCAUUAUAGACAGGAGCAGGUCCACUCUUGGAACUUCAUAACAAGAGAAAUGGAUCCAUCUUGACUUUAGCAAACAAAAAUAAAUAUAUAAAGGGAACUUCUGCAUGUCAAAUCUGUUAUUUGGGUUUCACUCCAUGAUGUUUCUUGAUCUUGUCUGAUGCCUAAGUGUCCUGACCUUUGACUUUCUUGACCAAGUCUUGCCAGACAAUGUGUGCUGCAAUAGCUAAUCUGGUUUUACCCAGCAUGUGUGAUUACGAGUUACAAGGCACUCAAUUAGGGGAUGAAAAGUCUACCAGUUAGCAGGAGGCACUUACUGAAGCACUUCCUGAAAGGUGUCUGUUAUAUGCAGGAGAGCACACUGAGACUGGGAUCUCUGUUCAGAUGAUGGGUUUUGAACUCCAUUUUCCAAUGGAAAAGUCACCUUAUUUAUAUGAUAAACUAUUGGUAAUUAAUAGGAGGGAAGGUCAUUUAAAAAAGAGGAUUCAGGGGAGUGGUUAUGAAAGUGUGUUAAAAUGAUGAAGAGAAGAAACUGGAGUAGGGUGGGAAGGGUAGAAUUAAUUGAAAGAGGAGUGAAUUUAAAUUGCAAAAUUGGAAUAGUGAGAGAGUGGGGGGAACUUACUGAAAAAUAGUGAAUAAGGGGAGAAAGAUUGUUUUAGGAGUAGAAACUGUAAUGGAUGGUUGCAAAAUACUUUUUGAUAAAGUUUUUGAGAUGAAAGGGAGGUUGACAAAAUUUUCUGUUCCCUAAGCACAUGGCGCACUCUAAUAAUCAUAAAAUUACUUUAUUCUUUAUACUUCACACAUGAGGGGCAAAGCAUAAGCUCUUUAUCCAGAUUCCCACAGUUUUCUGCUUCCUCGCAGGAAAAAAACACAGGUAAAGUGCUUGGUGAAUAUCUGACUGUAAAUACUGAACCACUGAAAACAAAUCCACACAUUUAAUAUCACUUUUGGCCAUAGGUUAAAAAGUUUUUUGCAAAAGAAAGAAGCAAGACUUUCAUUUUCUGAGAAAAGCUGAAAAUAAUAAAAUCCUGAUUCAAAAUUGAAAUUUGGAAGCAUUAAUAUUUAUUUUCUUAUGGGUUUAUCCAAGCUCACACAAGCUCUGUAGAUCUAUAAAAAUGCUGAAAGCAUUCUUCUUUUGAUUCAUUUUAUAUCAGGAUGAAAGCAGGAUAAAUAAUAACUGAUGAGAAGUAAGCAAUUCUUAUAUUUCCAACUGUAGGUAAGUUUGUGGAGGACAAGGAUUGGGUGCACACUGAAUAUCAAGCACCAUACUUGCUACUCAGUAGCAGUAGGGAAGUUAUAGUUGGGUAACAUGAAGAGUAAGCUUCCAGAUCACCUUUAUAAUUAUUUAGAGCUAUGGGUCCCUUUGUUGGAUUACUUUUCAGUUAAGUCUCUGGACCUCUAAAACACCAGUGAGAUGGUUGUGGUUGGAAGGGGUCAUUGUUUCUGAUAAAGGCCUAGAGCCAUCUCACCUUUUUGUAUUUCUUUCUUCCUCUCUCUUUGAUGUUAUAAUAUUGUGUAAAUGCUGUUUAUUUUAAUAUCUUUCUUUUUUUUGUCUUCAUAACUAUGUUUGGUUAAAAAAAGAAAAAUCAAUAAAAAUAAACAUUUAAUUAAUAAAGGAAUUCAUAAAGGAAUACAAUUUGUAUGGCCAGGACAAUUGUGUAUGUGCUAGCUAGAAUUCCACAGAAAUUACCUUUAUAAUCAGUGUUAAUAGAGAUUAAGUAAGAAUUUACUCAUUAACAUAAUCAUGUGUAAACAUUUUAAUGAGUAAACCCGCAAUAUUUUGGAUUAUGUCAUCAUCAAUGAUCUUGUUAAUUAGUUGGGAAUUACAAAAGAGGUAUUUGUGUUUCUUCAUGUCUUCAUGAUUAUAAUGAAAAGCCUGGAAGAGUGCCAUUAAACAGUUUUGCAAAGCAGUUUUUAACACACAGUUGUUAUAUCUGUCAUAUGUUUUCUAACAUUCAGAAAGAAAUACCCAGACUAAAUGGGCAUUUAUUUCUUGUUUAUAAUAAAUCUAAAAGAUCAAAGGGGCUGUGGAGAGGAGAGAUGGAAAUCAAGCUCAAUGCAAUAAAAAUCAAGACCUCAGCUUCAAAGAAAACACUGCACAGGCAACAAAUAAAUGUUAUGUCAAUACAAAUUAAUGCUUUUAAUUUUU